CGGUGGAAUGCGCAGAUAUCAGGAGGAACACCGGUGGCGAAGGCGGGUCUCUGGGCAGUAACUGACGCUGAGGAGCGAAAGCGUGGGGAGCGAACAGGAUUAGAUACCCUGGUAGUCCACGCCGUAAACGGUGGGUACUAGGUGUGGGUUUCCUUCCUUGGGAUCCGUGCCGUAGCUAACGCAUUAAGUACCCCGCCUGGGGAGUACGGCCGCAAGGCUAAAACUCAAAGGAAUUGGCGGGGGCCCGCACAAGCGGCGGAGCAUGUGGAUUAAUUCGAUGCAACGCGAAGAACCUUACCUGGGUUUGACAUGCACAGGACGCUGGUAGAGAUAUCAGUUCCCUUGUGGCCUGUGUGCAGGUGGUGCAUGGCUGUCGUCAGCUCGUGUCGUGAGAUGUUGGGUUAAGUCCCGCAACGAGCGCAACCCUUGUCCUGUGUUGCCAGCGGGUUAUGCCGGGGACUCGCAGGAGACUGCCGGGGUCAACUCGGAGGAAGGUGGGGAUGACGUCAAGUCAUCAUGCCCCUUAUGUCCAGGGCUUCACACAUGCUACAAUGGCCGGUACAAAGGGCUGCGAUGCCGUGAGGCUUAGCGAAUCCUUUAAAGCCGGUCUCAGUUCGGAUCGGGGUCUGCAACUCGACCCCGUGAAGUCGGAGUCGCUAGUAAUCGCAGAUCAG
rnacentral:rRNA from 1 species